rnacentral:rRNA from 1 species
UACGUAGGGGGCAAGCGUUGUCCGGAUUUAUUGGGCGUAAAGAGCGUGUAGGCGGCCAGACAGGUCUGCUGUGAAAACUCGAGGCUCAACCUCGAGACGCCGGUGGAAACCGUUUGGCUAGAGUCCGGAAGAGGAGAGUGGAAUUCCUGGUGUAGCGGUGAAAUGCGCAGAUAUCAGGAGGAACACCAAUGGCGAAGGCAGCACUCUGGGACGUGACUGACGCUGAGACGCGAAAGCGUGGGGAGCAAACAGG